UGGGGAGUCGCCAAGCUGGCUAAGGCAUCGGACUCUGACUCCGACAUUCGAGGGUUCAAAUCCUUCCUCCCCAGCCA
rnacentral:tRNA from 1 species